UGGCAACGGCUAAUAUCCGUUGUUGAUGACGGUACCCGCAUAAGAAGCACCGGCUAACUACGUGCCAGCAGCCGCGGUAAUACGUAGGGUGCGAGCGUUAAUCGGAAUUACUGGGCGUAAAGCGUGCGCAGGCGGUUUCGUAAGACAGACGUGAAAUACCCCGGGCUCAACCUGGGAACUGCGUUUGUGACUGCGAGGCUAGAGUACGGCAGAGGGGGGUAGGAAUUCCACGUGUAGCAGUGAAAUGCGUAGAGAUGUGGAGGAAUACCGAUGGCGAAGGCAGCCCCCUGGGUUAGUACUGACGCUCAUGCACGAAAGCGUGGGGAGCAAACAGGAUUAGAUACCCUGGUAG
rnacentral:rRNA from 1 species